UACGUAGGGGUCUAGCGUUGUCCGGAAUCAUUGGGCGUAAGAGCUCGUAGGCGGUUCGGCAAGUCGGAUGUGAAAUCUCCACGCUCAACGUGGAGGGGCCAUUCGAAACUGCCGUGACUCGAGUCCGGUAGGGGAGUUCGGAAUUCCCGGUGUAGCGGUGAAAUGCGUAGAUAUCGUAAGGAAGACCAGUGGCGAAGGCGGCUUUCUGGUCUGCUCUUGACGCUGAGGCGCGAAAGCUAGGGUAGCAAACGGG
rnacentral:rRNA from 1 species